CAUCAAAAAAACUUGCAUUAAUGUAUGCUGCUUUGUCUAAAGGCAGGAGACACGCUCCCAAUACCGGGCUCCAUUUGACCUUUGACCUGUGGUUACAUGCACAAAAAAAGUUGAUCCUGUGACAUCUGAGGGAACAAACCCCCUCCCAAACCCCACCCCUUUAUUUAGUGAUGGCAAAACAAAGCCUCAUGAAGCAUUUGCUGGGUUUUUUGGAUCCCACCAGAUGGCAGUGUCUAUAAAAAAAUCAACACACAAUGAACGCCAGUUUCCUUAGAACCCUUCUUUGAAUAGACACUGCCAUCCAGUAGGCUUAGAAAAAAACUUCAAAUGCUUCAUGAGGCUUCAUUUUGCCAUCACUACCUUUAUUUAUGACACUGCUUUGAAAUAUAUGAUUUCAUUUCUAUUUUUUUUGGUUGCUUUGGGCAACCGUGAAAUAUCAUUUUAUGUGAGCCAAUAGCACUGCUUCAUACUGAUUGUCAAAACGUUAACAUGGAUUCCUAGAUGAGCAAAAACUGACUAAAGCAGACGAUGGCACUUUAAAAACAUUCAGGCCCAAGAAACAGACGUGAAGGUUCUUAUUGCACAGAAACCCAAUAUUGCAUAUUUCAGUAAAACAAUCCAAGGGUCAGAGGUCAUGCACAAAGAAGAGCAGAACGUCCAAAUAAAUAAACUCCACUGACAGACCAGUGUAAAAGACAGUGCAGAAGGAAAAUACCCUCCUUCGCACAUAAAUGCAGCCCCCCAAAAAACUACAAAUUGUACACAAAUGUCCUUGUCAAGAAAAGUGUUGUUUUGAGGUUAAUUCAAGCAACAACAACAACAAAACAAAAGAACUAAUUAAUAAAAAAAGGGGGUAAAGAAACUUAACUCAGACUAAAGAAAUAAAAACCUGGUCCUUGGUCUGAUAAUUGUGGUAACAAAAUGAACAUUUCUUGGACCAUAAAUUGGAAGUUUCAUCUUUCUUUGGGUUGCGGGUGCAGAAUCUGAUAUGGCAAGUUGAUUGGCUGAAUGUUGACAGGUCAUCUAGCAAGUGACUGACAGAAGACUGAACCGCCCACUCAGCGAAAUACUAUGAACAGAGCGAAAUGUGGAGACUCAGCUGUGCAGAACCAUCAUGUUAUCAAUCAUUUCUGAUCAAUUUAUCGUGAAAUCUGUUCUCAUCAGUGUGUCACCGGCAAAAUUUGACCAAAAAAAAAAAAAAAAGCAAAUAAAAGCAAAAUUUUUUAUGGCAUUGCUGACUGUAUAGUUCCCAAGAAAGCUACUGUAAUGCAGAGUAAGACUGUCAUAUUGUCACGAGUUUUACUUGUGGUUCAAGGGUUAUGUCGGCAUCACUACACAAACAUUUUUUUACCCCACUUUAUAAUUAAAGUCACCGUACAAACUAAACCACAAGGUGUCACCACUGUGCUGCUCUGUACUGAUGGCAAAACGAGGCCUCGUGAAGCAUUUGUCUGUUCAAAAAAAGAAUUCAAAGCACAAUGAACUUCAGUUCCCUUAGAACAAUUUUUUGAAUAAACACUGCCAUCUAGUGGUCUUAGAAAAAUCUUCAAAUGCUUCAUGAGGCCUCGUUUUGUCGUCACUACCACUCUGCAUGCCCAAACCCGUCUGACCUCAGAACGAAGCUCCUGAAGAAUCCGUGGAUGAGUUUGUGGCAUAAAACUUGUGCCAAAUACUGGAUGCAGAUUCAGACAGGGUGCACUGUGGUGAGUGAGCGGGGUCGGCCAAAAGCAAAAAUUGAAGUGUAAAUGUGUAACACUGCCUCAGUAAGACGCCACAGAACCUUUUGAUUUCUGUGGCUACGAUACAGUUUUCUACUUUUAAACAUCUAUUAGAGUGAAACAAACCAAACUGUCCCAGCUGUCAGCUUUAUAUCAGUAGUUGGUCAUUAAAUAUAUGCAGGAUCAAAGUAAAACAUGUCUACAGCACUAAGAGAGAUUAUGGCUUUGUUUCCACAUGCAGCUAUUCUAUUUGAGAUAUGAACCGGGCUCAUCUCACCAGCACCGAAGGUUAAGCACUCUGAAUUUCUGGCUUUUCUGAAGCCUGUCCUCCUGACCCUCACUGGAGCUUCAUUUCUAAUUCCUGCUAAAAUUUGAAGUCAGAAUCAGAAUUUCAGCUCCUAACUCAUAGACACUGUUUUGUUUUGUUUUGUUUAGUUAUUAGAAGACCAGAUGUAGAAUCCACUUCUACAUCUGCUGAAAGUUUCUAAAUAUUUGCAAUUACAGCCAACCACCACCAGAUGGAAACAUCAGUAUGAGAAAUGGUCCCGUGUCACAGAUCAGUUCACUGUGUGGCACCAUGUUCCACCAGAACUUCAGAACCAAAAAAGAAAAGUUACCAUGUGCUUACUUUUGUCAAGAUGCUGCUGUUAAUGUGCACGUGACCGCUCAGUGGCACGACCGCCAGCACGCUGGAGACAUUAAACUGUGAACCUCAACUUUUCUUAAAAGGCAGAAGGUUUGGGUUUUGAGGUGUGAUAUUAAAACAGUGAAGAA